GGCGAAGACGGGUAGCAGGUGUGAGAGCACGACCUGCAACAUCGGGACUGAGACACUGCCCGGACUCCUACGGGAGGCUGCAGUAACGAAUCUUCCGCAAUGGGCGAAAGCCUGACGGAGCAAUGCCGCGUGCGGGAUGAAGCGCCUAUGGCGUGUAAACCGCUGUCAGGGGACGGAACCAAUGAUUGUCCCCAGAGGAAGUGGCGACUAACUCUGUGCCAGCAGUCGCGGUAAUACAGAGGCCACGAGCGUUAAUCGGAAUCACUGGGCUUAAAGGGUGCGCAGGCGGCUCGAAAAGCGUUCCGUGAAAUCCCCCGGCUCAACCGGGGAACUGCGGAGCGAACUGCCGAGCUUGAGGCAGUAGGGCGGGCAGAACUGUAGGUGGAGCGGUGAAAUGCGUAGAUAUCUACAGGAAUGCCGACUAGG
rnacentral:rRNA from 1 species